UACAGAGGUCUCAAGCGUUGUUCGGAUUCAUUGGGCGUAAAGGGUGCGUAGGCGGCGCGGUAAGUCGGGUGUGAAAUCUCGGAGCUUAACUCCGAACUGCAUUCGAUACUGCCGUGCUUGAGGACUGGAGAGGAGACUGGAAUUUACGGUGUAGCGGUGAAAUGCGUAGAUAUCGUAAGGAAGACCAGUGGCGAAGGCGGGUCUCUGGACAGUUCCUGACGCUGAGGCACGGAAGGUCAGGGAGCAAACAGG
rnacentral:rRNA from 1 species